AUAGAGUUAAAAAACUACUUGUUUUUACCAUUACUUUCUUAUCACUUUUGUCCUUCUAAUAACAUUAUUGUUAUGAUUAAAUUUCUUUAUGAAAAUACCAAGCAAAAAAUACUUCCAUUGCAAUUGCCCUGCAAGAAAUACAGGUUUCCUAGUUUGCACUACCUAAAUCUUCUUAAACAGGAUAAAAUCCAUUUUACAACAAAGAACAAAAGCUGCUUUGACAAACAUAUUUUCUUCUCUCCCAUUUCAGUUACCGUAAAAUAAUCCAAUUUUCCUAAGGAAGCCAAUGGUAUAAUAAAUAAAUAAAUAAAUAA
rnacentral:misc_RNA from 1 species